GAGUUUGAUCCUGGCUCAGGAUGAACGCUAGCGGCAGGCCUAACACAUGCAAGUCGAGGGGUAGAGUUAGCUUGCUAACUUGAGACCGGCGCACGGGUGCGUAACGCGUAUGCAAUCUACCUUGUACAGGGGGAUAGCCCAGAGAAAUUUGGAUUAAUACCCCAUGGUGUUAUGAUGUGGCAUCACAUUAUAACUAAAGUUCCAACGGUACAAGAUGAGCAUGCGUCCCAUUAGCUAGUUGGUGUGGUAACGGCAUACCAAGGCAAUGAUGGGUAGGGGUCCUGAGAGGGAGAUCCCCCACACUGGUACUGAGACACGGACCAGACUCCUACGGGAGGCAGCAGUGAGGAAUAUUGGUCAAUGGGCGCAAGCCUGAACCAGCCAUGCCGCGUGCAGGAUGACGGUCCUAUGGAUUGUAAACUGCUUUUAUACGGGAAGAAACACUCCUACGUGUAGGAACUUGACGGUACCGUAAGAAUAAGGAUCGGCUAACUCCGUGCCAGCAGCCGCGGUAAUACGGAGGAUCCAAGCGUUAUCCGGAAUCAUUGGGUUUAAAGGGUCCGUAGGCGGUCUUAUAAGUCAGUGGUGAAAGCCCAUCGCUUAACGAUGGAACGGCCAUUGAUACUGUAAGACUUGAAUUAGUGGGAAGUAACUAGAAUAUGUAGUGUAGCGGUGAAAUGCUUAGAUAUUACAUGGAAUACCAAUUGCGAAGGCAGGUUACUAUCACUAUAUUGACGCUGAUGGACGAAAGCGUGGGGAGCGAACAGGAUUAGAUACCCUGGUAGUCCACGCCGUAAACG
rnacentral:rRNA from 1 species